UUAAUUCAAAUUGACAUCAAUAAUAACUUUAAAUCUUCAGACAUUUAUUCCUUAUGUCACUUACCAACCCUUGUCAAGUUGGAGAACGUCUUAUGGAUAUGAGUACAUCGUAUAUAGAAGCCCGAAGGCUGCACAAAAUCACGUAUAUGCUAAACAAAAACCUAUGAGGGUUGAACAGAAGCUCAUAAGAGCUGAAUGGAAACCCAUAAGGGUUAAACAGAGACCCAUUAGGGUUAAACGGAAACUCAUAUGAGUUAACUAAAGUUCAUGAGAGCUAAACAGAAAGUAAACACGAAAGUUCACAAGAAAUACUGAACCUCAAUUUACUUGGGUAAUUUUCCGUCAAUUCUCCCUUGGCACUGAACGACUGUACUCAAUCCCGCGUUCUAUUUGUUUCGAACAUUCAAUUCAGUUUCAUAACUUUAACAAUAAUUUUAGUUUCAACAAAUGAUAUUGAUAAAUACAUAAUAUCAUUCAUCAAUUUAACAUAUAACAUUAAAGUUUAACCAUACGAACUUACCUGAGUGAAAUUGUAGAAUUUGUAGUAGUUCAGGGACUAUUCUGCUAAUUUCCCUUUUUCACGAUUAUCUACGGGCUCUUGAUCUAAAAUAUAAAAUUAUUCAUUAAUUAGCAUAUAUUUCAAUUCUAAUUCACUUCACAAUUAAUACCCUUUAAUUUUUGAAAUUACACAAUUACCCUAACUUUUACAAUUUUUACAAUUUAGUCCCUCACCAAUUAGCCUAUCAAAUGAGUUAAUUUUUCUCAAUUUACAAUUUAUCUAAAUAUUCUAAGCUAUCAUACAACCUUUGAUCAAUAUAUUUAGUAUCAAACCCUAAUAUUUAAUCUUUUCACAAUUUGGUCCUAAAAUCAAUUUAUGUUAAAAUCAUUUGAUAAAAUCAUCAUAUAACAAAAUUAAAGCUCUAAAUCUAUGUUAAUUCAUCACAAAUAUCCAGCACUCAUCAAUGGUAACUUUCAAAAUUACCCAUAAAAUCAAAUACUAGUGAAAUGGAUAGUUAGACCUAAUUGUAAAAGUCUUAAAAACACAAAAAUUACAAGAAAAAAGGCAAGAAUUGAACUCACAUGAAGAAAAAUAUGAAAACCAGCUUUGAGAGUUCUUCAAUGGUGUUUUUGGAUAGAAAUUUAAUGAAGAAAAUGUCUAGAAACUUUUAGAUUUCUCAAUUUGAUAUUUUAAUUUCAUUUAUUUCCAAUCUUGCCCUUUAAUCACAUGAUCUUUGUUUUCUUUUCUUCUUAUUCCGCCUCAUGCUUUUAUUUUAGGCAUAAUUUCUCCUUAAGUCCUCCUUUAUUCAUUUAUUAAGCCAUUUAAUCAUCAUUUCUUUAAUUAACAAAUUUUACACCUUUUUCAAUUUAGUCCUUCUUAAUUAAUUAACUACCAAAACGUUAAAAUUUUAAUUUUAAUACUAUCUUAAUGAAACCUUGGCUUAUAAAAUUGAGGUCUCGAUACCUCAUUUUUUAAACCACUUUACCUAAUAAAUCCUUCUAAAACACAAAUCACCAAUUCAAAAAUAUUCCUAAAAUCACACUUGACUCGUAAAUAAUAAAUAAUAAAAUUUUUGAACUCACUCGUCAGAUUUAAUGGUCUCGAACCACUAUUUUUUACACCACCGAAAAUUGGGCUGUUACAUCUUUGUUCUUUGCAUGGAAUGGCUCGGUCAUAACUUUCAUUAAGCCAUAGAUCAAGGUGGCCUCUGGAGGCCUAUUAGAUUAUCGGAAUCUAGCUCGUUUCUCUCACAUCUUUUCUUUGUAGAUGAUCUUGUCAUUUUUAGGCAUGCGGAUCUCUAGCAAAUUCUGGCACUUAAUGAUAUUUUAGGGAGAUUCUGUGGGUAUUCAAGGCACCGGAUCAAUGCUCGGAAGACGGAUAUUUACUUCUCCAAAGGAUUUGGUGAUGCUAUUGGACUACAGUUGAGCGAAACUCUUGGGUUUUAUAGGGUUCAUAAUCUUGGCAUCUAUCUAGGGGUUCCUCUUCUCCAUGAAAGAAUUUCGAGUUGUACUUUACGUUUUGUUGUUGAUAACAUUCGUAGUAAAUUGAACAGAUGAGGUGCAAAGAAACUAUCUAUAGCUGGUAGAGCUACCUUAGCGUAGUGAGUUCUUCUUUCUGUUCCUAACUAUUUCCUACAGUCCAUGAUGAUUCCUAAAAGAAGCUACAAUGAGAUUGAAUGCAUUGUCAGGCAAUUUAUAUAGGGUUUCUCCGAUGGCCGUCAAAAGAUGUCCUUGGUCAAUUGAGAGUCUGUUUGUCAACCUCGAUCUUGUGGAGGGCUUGGCAUUAGACAUCUGAGGGACCAAAAUACCUCUUUCAUGAUGAAGUUAGGAUACAAUUUAGUUUAUAAACAAGAUGCCUUAUGGGUUCGAGUUCUUUGGUCCAAGUAUGGUAUGAAGGAUGAUAUAUCUGCUAGUACCUCGAGAGGGAAAUGCUCUACUCUAUAGGGAAAACUUAUGCUGGUCAGUUGGAAAUGAGAUCAAUAUUAGAUGUUGGAAAGAUCUGUGGAUACCGGAAGUGGGGCCUCGGAUUGAUCAUAUUCCAGCCCAUGUUAAUAUUAAUUUAGACUGUAGACUAAAUGAAAUGGUCAAUGAGGAGGGUUUUUAGAAUCUGGAAUUUUUUGCCUUUGGUUAUUGGAGGAAACAAUUAGAAGUAUUGUGGGUAUCCCCCACCUCACCUGUCUACAAGUCCUGACAGGAUUAUUUUUGCUCGGACUUCUAGUGGUAUUUUCUCUCUCAAAAGUGCUUAUUGGCAUAUUCGGGAAAGGUCGUGGAAACUAAAGGAUACACAGUGGAAUAUACCAUGGAAAUUCCAGGGACCCCAAAGGGUCAGAUUCUUCAUAUGGUUAGUCCUAAAACAAAGAUUGUUAACUAACGUGGAGUGUGUUAAGAGGGGAAUAGGGUAUGUCAGCUCUUGUGGUAUGUGUGGGUAUCAUUCUGAAGAUAUAUUACAUGUCCUGUAACACCCCUUAACCGUAUCCAACACCGGAAUAGGGUACGAGGCAUUACCAAAACACAUACACUUGUAAACGUAUUUAACCGAGUUAUAAAAUUUCAUCAAAAUUAAAACUUUCAAAAUAAUUAACAUGUUUCUAUAACUUUUCACAAUAUAUCCUCAAAAUAUUAUAAUCAUAAUAAUUAGGGCCUGCGAGACCCGAUACAUACUCAUGCAAUUUAAUGCUUCAUUUCCAUUUCAUUCAAUUCGCAAUUUCUCAUGCUCAUAAUUUAAAUCAUAUCACUAGCAAUUUCCAUUUAAUUCACGUACAAUUCAAUGACAUCAAAUUCAAAACUAAUACGUAUUUACCAUUUAACUCAAUGUUUAUUGAUUAUACCAUUCAAUAACACAAAUUUUGAAAUUCUCAAUUUAGCAAUGAAAAUAUCACUUUAGUUUGAAUAACAACAUCGUCCUGAUAUAAAUACACUACCACUUAUCCAUUUACUUUAAUUCUUUCGGGCCCAUUUGUCACUUACCAUCCUUAAUCAAAUUAGGGAACGGUCACGGAAAAUUGAGUACUUCACUUUCACUUUGCCAUAGUAUAACUAUGGUCUUACGUAUGAUCACUUAUCACUUGUCCCUGAUCAGAUAAGUGUAGCCACCUAUCACUUUGUUUCUGAUCAGAUAAGUGUAGCCACUUAUCACUUUGUUUCUUGAUCAGAUAAGUGUAGCCACUUAUCACUUUGUUUCUUGAUCAGAUAAGUGUAGCCACUUAUCACUUUGUUUCUUGAUCAGAUAAGUGUAGCCACUUAUCACUUUGUCUCUUGAUCAGAUAAGUGUAGCUAAAGCUAUUAUUUAUCACUUUGUCUCUUGAUCAGAUAAGUAUAGCCGAAGCUAUCACUUAUCACUUUUCACUUGUCACUUGAUCAGAUAAGUGUAGCCGAAGCUAUCACUUAUCACUUUCCACUUUCCACUUGUCACUUGAUCAGAUAAGUGUAGCUGAAGCUAUCACUUAUCACUUUGUCACUUGAUCAGAUAAGUAUAGCCGAAGCUAUCACUUAUCACUUUGUCAUUUGAUUAGAUAAGUAUAGCCGAAGCUAUUACUUAUCACUUUGUCAUUUGAUUAGAUAAGUAUAGCCGAAGCUAUUACUUAUCACUUUCCACUUGUCACUUGAUCAGAUAAGUGUAGCUAAAGCUACCACUUAUCACUUUUUCACUUGAUCAGAAGUACUCAAAUCCGGCGUUCCGCUCAAAUUGAUCAUUUAUUCAUAUAUCAGGCUUACCAACAUGUGUUAAUUCAUAAACCAUUCAUGGUAUUAUUUCAUGCCAAAUCAUAUACUGAAUAUACCAUACACACAUNNNNNNNNNNNNNNNNNNNNNNNNNNNNNNNNNNNNNNNNNNNNNNNNNNNNNNNNNNNNNNNNNNNNNNNNNNNNNNNNNNNNNNNNNNNNNNNNNNNNUUUUUAAUGAUUUUCCAAAGUCAGACAGGGGAACCCGAAUUCAUUCUGACCUUGUCUCACAAAAUCUAUUAUAUCUCAUGAUUUACAAUUCCAUUGCUCACAUCAUUUCUUUUAUAAGAAACUAGACUCAAUAAGCUUUAGUUUCAUAUUUUAUUCAUCCUCUAAUUCAAUCUCUACAAUUUUUGGUGAUUUUUCAAAGUUACACUACUGCUGCUGUCCAAAACUGCUUAGUGCAAAAUGUUGAUUUCCAUUUUGCCCCAAAUUUCACAGUUUAUACAAUUCGGUCCUUUCUCAAUUAACCCCUCAAUUAAUCUAAUUUUCUCAAUUAGUACUUUACUAGACAUUAUAAGUUGUUACACAACUAUUGAAAUUCAGAAUUUCCACAUAUAACUCUAUCUUCAAACUCUUUUACUAUUAGGUCCCAAACAUUCACUUUCUAUUCAAUUCUUUCAAUAAAAUCAGCAUAUGAACAAUUUAAAGCUCUAAUUUCAUGCUAAAUCAUCAUAUACUUCCAGCACAUAUUCAUAUCAACUUUCAACUUCUUUCAUAAAAUCAAAAACUAAUGAAUUUAACAAGUGGGCCUAGUUGUAAAAGUCAUAAAAAUACAAAAAUUUCAAGAAAUAGUCAAGAAUUGAACUUACUUGUAAUAAAAAUAUGAAGAACCAGCUUGAAGAAGCCCUUCCAUGGUGUUUUAGCUGAUGA
rnacentral:lncRNA from 1 species